rnacentral:rRNA from 1 species
AUUGAACGCUGGCGGCAGGCCUAACACAUGCAAGUCGAACGAGUGGCGGACGGGUGAGUAAUGUCUGGGACACUGCCUGAUGGAGGGGGAUAGCUACUGGAAACGGUAGCUAAUACCGCAUACCAUCAGAUGUGCCCAGGUGGGAUUAGCUAGUAGGUGGGGUAACGGCUCACCUAGGCGACGAUCCCUAGCUGGGCUGAGAGGAGGACCAGCCACACUGGAACGGAGACACGGUCCAGACUCCUACGGUAGGCAGCAUUGGGGAAUAUUGCACAAUGGGCGCAAGCGUGAUGCAGCCAUGCCGUGUGUGUGAAGAAGGCCUUCGGGUUGUAAAGCACUUUCAGCGGGGAGGCGUUACCCGCAGAAGAAGCACCGGCUAACUCCGUGCCAGCAGCCGCGGUAAUUC